GACGAACGCUGGCGGCGUGCUUAACACAUGCAAGUCGAACGAAGAGCGAUGGAAGCUUGCUUCUAUCAAUCUUAGUGGCGAACGGGUGAGUAACGCGUAAUCAACCUGCCCUUCAGAGGGGGACAACAGUUGGAAACGACUGCUAAUACCGCAUACGAUCUAAUCUCGGCAUCGAGGAUAGAUGAAAGGUGGCCUCUACAUGUAAGCUAUCACUGAAGGAGGGGAUUGCGUCUGAUUAGCUAGUUGGAGGGGUAACGGCCCACCAAGGCGAUGAUCAGUAGCCGGGCUGGGAGGAUGAACGGCCACAUUGGGACUGAGACACGGCUCAGACUCCUACGGGAGGCAGCAGUGGGGAAUCCUCCGCAAUGGACGAAAGUCUGACGGAGCAACGCCGCGUGAGUGAUGACGGCCUUCGGGUUGUAAAGCUCUGUUAAUCGGGACGAAAGGCCUUCUUGCGAAUAGUGAGAAGGAUUGACGGUACCGGAAUAGAAAGCCACGGCUAACUACGUG
rnacentral:rRNA from 1 species